AGAGUUUGAUCCUGGCUCAGAUUGAACGCUGGCGGCAUGCCUUACACAUGCAAGUCGAACGGUAACGCGGGGGCAACCCUGGCGACGAGUGGCGAACGGGUGAGUAAUACAUCGGAACAUAUCCAGUAGCGGGGGAUAACCUAUCGAAAGAUGGACUAAUACCGCAUACGAUCUACGGAUGAAAGCAGGGGACCGCAAGGCCUUGCACUAUUGGAGUGGCCGAUGUCGGAUUAGCUAGUUGGUGGGGUAAAAGCUUACCAAGGCGACGAUCCGUAGCUGGUCUGAGAGGACGAUCAGCCACACUGGAACUGAGACACGGUCCAGACUCCUACGGGAGGCAGCAGUGGGGAAUUUUGGACAAUGGGCGCAAGCCUGAUCCAGCCAUGCCGCGUGAGUGAAGAAGGCCUUCGGGUUGUAAAGCUCUUUCGGUGAAGACGAAACGGUUCAUGCUAAUAACGUGAACUAAUGACGGUACUCACAGAAGAAGCACCGGCUAACUACGUGCCAGCAGCCGCGGUAAUACGUAGGGUGCAGGCGUUAAUCGGAAUUACUGGGCGUAAAGCGUGCGCAGGCGGUUUGCUAAGACAGGUGUGAAAUCCCCGGGCUUAACCUGGGAAUUGCGCUUGUAACUGGCAAGCUAGAGUGUGGCAGAGGGGGGUGGAAUUCCACGUGUAGCAGUGAAAUGCGUAGAUAUGUGGAGGAACACCGAUGGCGAAGGCAGCCCCCUGGGUUAACACUGACGCUCAUGCACGAAAGCGUGGGGAGCAAACAGGAUUAGAUACCCUGGUAGUCCACGCCCUAAACUAUGUCAACUAGUUGUCGGGGAAGAAGUUCCUUGGUAGCGAAGCUAACGCGUGAAGUUGACCGCCUGGGGAGUACGGCCGCAAGGUUAAAACUCAAAGGAAUUGACGGGGACCCGCACAAGCGGUGGAUUAUGUGGAUUAAUUCGAUGCAACGCGAAAAACCUUACCUACCCUUGACAUGCUAGGAAGCCCGCAGAGAUGUGGGUGUGCCCGAAAGGGAACCUAGACACAGGUGCUGCAUGGCUGUCGUCAGCUCGUGUCGUGAGAUGUUGGGUUAAGUCCCGCAACGAGCGCAACCCUUGCCAUUAGUUGCUACAUUCAGUUGGGCACUCUAAUGGUACCGCCGGUGACAAACCGGAGGAAGGUGGGGAUGACGUCAAGUCCUCAUGGCCCUUAUGGGUAGGGCUUCACACGUAAUACAAUGGUCGGUACAGAGGGCUGCCAACCCGCAAGGGGGAGCUGAUCCCAGAAAGCCGAUCGUAGUCCGGAUUGUAGUCUGCAACUCGACUGCAUGAAGCCGGAAUCGCUAGUAAUCGCGGAUCAGCAUGUCGCGGUGAAUACGUUCCCGGGUCUUGUACACACCGCCCGUCACACCAUGGGAGUGGGUUCCACCAGAAGUAGUUAGCCUAACCGCAAGGAGGGCGAUUACCACGGUGAGAUUCAUGACUGGGGUGAAGUCGUAACAAGGUA
rnacentral:rRNA from 1 species